CAAUAUUGCAACCCUGAUGUUUUUUUGCAGAUACUCAGCUGAUACUUAAUCAAAUAUUUUGCAAAUAUUUUGCGCGGCGUGCAGGUAGAAAUGGAAUUUAAUACGUCUCAAAAAUGAAUUUUUUAAUAAAUUUAACAGUGGAUAACAUGGUGGAAUGCGAGUGCAGUUUGCUUCUUAAAUAUAAAAAAGCAAGAAAACAAAGCUUUUUACGUAAAAAAAAGUGGCUUAUGACCGAAAUUUUAAAGAAGAGGGCGAUAGUAAAAUCGCAAAACUUCUUUAAAACAAUUCAAAUUUAUCCUCCGGAUAUAUAUUUAUCGCAUUUUCGGAUGUCUCGUGAAACAUUUGCUGAAUUAAAGAGCGGCUUGGAACCUUUUUGGUUAUCGUCACGCGGGGAAUAUUCAAUGGAUCAGGCUUUGCAUAUUACCUUGUGGAAGCUGAGUAAUAGUAGAGUUACUUAUCAUGAACUAUCAGAUAAGUUUGAUGUUUCAAAAGGGACUGCCCACAAAAUUUUUCUUAAAACGAUUAAUGCAAUUUGCAAGUUAAAAAAUGAAAUAUGUUGGCCAUCAAUUUCCCAGCAGCAAACAGUAAUGGAGCGUUUCCAAGCGAGCCGGCCGAAUGCAUUUCCUUUCGUAGUUGGCUGUUUGGAUGGGACACAUUUUAAAAUAAACACACCGAAGAAGGAUGCAAUUAGCUACUAUGACCGAAAGGGGAAGUAUUCCAUUAUUAUGCAGGGCAUAUGCGACAGCACAUUUCGUUUCUUGGAUGUUUUCAUCGGAUACCCAGGGAGCUGCCAUGACGCCAUGGAAAAAUAGUCCGAUAUACAAAGGAAUUACGUCUGGAGAGAUACAACUUGCAAAAGAUGCUAUAAUUUUAGCUGACUCAGCUUAUCCUCUUACGAAAUAUUUGAUCGCGCCUUAUAGAGAUAAUGGACAUCUGUUGAGAGAGGAGAAACAAUUUAAUUAUUAUUUAAGUUCAACUCGAGUAUUCAUAGAACAAGCUUUUGGGAUUUUGAGGGGAAAGUUCAAAAUUUUAAAUCAUAUUGAUAUUCAAAAUAUGGAAGAUGUAUCAAAAGUAGUAUUAGCUUGUGUAAUUCUGCAUAAUUUAAUAAUGCGGAACAAUUUUAAUG